rnacentral:rRNA from 1 species
UACAGAGGUCCCAAGCGUUGUUCGGAAUUACUGGGCGUAAAGCGCACGUAGGCGGCUUUGUAAGUUAGAGGUGAAAGCCUGGAGCUCAACUCCAGAACUGCCUUUAAGACUGCAUCGCUUGAAUCCAGGAGAGGUGGGUGGAAUUCCGAGUGUAGAGGUGAAAUUCGUAGAUAUUCGGAAGAACACCAGUGGCGAAGGCGGCUCACUGGACUGGUAUUGACGCUGAGGUGCGAAAGCGUGGGGAGCAAACAGG